AUCUGGAUAGCUCAGUUGGUAGAGCAUGAGACUCUUAAUCUUAGGAUCGUGAGUUUGAGCCCCACGUUGGGCA
rnacentral:tRNA from 1 species